GAUGAACGCUGGCGGCGUGCUUAACACAUGCAAGUCGAACGAAGCACUUUAUUUGAUUUCCUUCGGGACUGAUUAUUUUGUGACUGAGUGGCGGACGGGUGAGUAACGCGUGGGUAACCUGCCUUGUACAGGGGGAUAACAGUUGGAAACGGCUGCUAAUACCGCAUAAGCGCACAGCAUCGCAUGAUGCAGUGUGAAAAACUCCGGUGGUAUAAGAUGGACCCGCGUUGGAUUAGCUAGUUGGUGAGGUAACGGCCCACCAAGGCGACGAUCCAUAGCCGACCUGAGAGUGUGACCGGCCACAUUGGGACUGAGACACGGCCCAAACUCCUACGGGAGGCAGCAGUGGGGAAUAUUGUACAAUGGGCGAAAGCCUGAUGCAGCGACGCCGCGUGAGCGAAGAAGUAUUUCGGUAUGUAAAGCUCUAUCAGCAGGGAAGAUAAUGACGGUACCUGACUAAGAAGCACCGGCUAAAUACGUG
rnacentral:rRNA from 1 species